rnacentral:rRNA from 1 species
GAUGAACGCUGACAGAAUGCUUAACACAUGCAAGUCAACUUGGUGGCGGACGGGUGAGUAACGCGUAAAGAACUUGCCUCACAGAUAGGGACAACAUUUGGAAACGAAUGCUAAUACCUGAUACUGUGAGAGAGCUUUGCGUCCCAUUAGCUAGUUGGAGAGGUAACGGCUCACCAAGGCGAUGAUGGGUAGCCGGCCUGAGAGGGUGAUCGGCCACAAGGGGACUGAGACACGGCCCUUACUCCUACGGGAGGCAGCAGUGGGGAAUAUUGGACAAUGGACCAAGGUCUGAUCCAGCAAUUCUGUGUGCACGAUGAAGUUUUUCGGAAUGUAAAGUGCUUUUAUGUGAGAAUGUAUCACAUGAAUAAGGACCGGCUAAUUCCGUGCCAGCAGCCGCGGUAAUAC